UACGUAGGGGGCAAGCGUUGUCCGGAUUUAUUGGGCGUAAAGCGCUCGCAGGUGGUUCGUCGCGUCGUGCGUGAAAGACCCCGGCUCAACUGGGGGAGGUCGUGCGAUACGGGCGGACUGGAGGCCAGUAGGGGGAUGCGGAAUUCCGGGUGUAGUGGUGGAGUGCGUAGAGAUCCGGAGGAACACCAGCGGCGAAGGCGGCAUCCUGGACUGGUCCUGACACUCAUGAGCGAAAGCGUGGGUAGCAAACAGG
rnacentral:rRNA from 1 species